GGAAACCUACGGGGCGCAGCAGUGGGGAAUAUUGCGCAAUGGGCGAAAGCCUGACGCAGCGACGCCGCGUGAGGGAUGAAGGUCUUCGGAUCGUAAACCUCUGUCAGCAGGGAAGAACGGUCACUGUGCUAAUCAGCAGUGAAUUGACGGUACCUGCAAAGGAAGCACCGGCUAACUCCGUGCCAGCAGCCGCGGUAAUACGGUGGGUGCGAGCGUUAAUCGGAAUUACUGGGCGUAAAGGGGUCGUAGGCGGUAGGUCAAGUCACGG
rnacentral:rRNA from 1 species